rnacentral:tRNA from 1 species
GCGAAUGUAGUAUAAUUGGUAAUGCCCUGCUUUGUCAAGGCAGCCUAUGCCGGUUCGAAUCUGGUCGUUCGCG